UACGUAGGGUGCAAGCGUUGUCCGGAAUUAUUGGGCGUAAAGAGCUCGUAGGCGGUUUGUCGCGUCUGCUGUGAAAACUCGGGGCUUAACUCCGGGCCUGCAGUGGGUACGGGCAGACUAGAGUGCGGUGGGGGAGACUGGAAUUCCUGGUGUAGCGGUGAAAUGCGCAGAUAUCAGGAGGAACACCGGUGGCGAAGGCGGGUCCCUGGGCCGUAACUGACGCUGAGGAGCGAAAGCGUGGGGAGCGAACAGG
rnacentral:rRNA from 1 species